rnacentral:tRNA from 1 species
GUGGAGGUGGACCGGCCGGGCGGCCGCGUCGGCUACGGGCCGGUCACUGCCGCCGAGGUGCGCAGCCUGUUCGAUGCCGGCUUCCUCG